rnacentral:rRNA from 1 species
GAUGAACGCUAGCGAUAGGCUUAACACAUGCAAGUCGAGGGGUAACGUGUUGGAAGCUUGCUUCCGAUGACGACGACCAGCGGAUGGGUGCGUAACGCGUAUGCAACUUGCCUCACAGUGGAGAAUAACCCGGAGAAAUCCGGACUAAUACUCCAUACACUCUUAAGUACGCCUGUACAUGAGAGGAAAGAUUUAUCGCUGUGAGAUAGGCAUGCGUCCUAUUAGGUAGUUGGUGAGGUAACGGCUCACCAAGCCGACGAUAGGUAGGGGUGCUGAGAGGCAGAUCCCCCACAUUGGGACUGAGACACGGCCCAAACUCCGACGGGAGGCAGCAGUGAGGAAGAUUGGUCAAUGGAGGAAACUCUGAACCAGCCAAGUCGCGUGAAGGAAGAAUGUCCUUAGGAUUGUAAACUUCUUUAGCGAGCGAGUAAGGACUUCCACGUGAUGGGAGUUUGAAAGUAGCUCGAGAAUAAGUAUCGGCUAACUCCGUG